GAAACCAGUCUCUAUGCCCUGGCAUGCACGAGAGGGAAGAAUGUGGAGGUCUUGGCUGGCUGCCAGGCUAUUCGGCUGAUGUCUCCGUCAGGAUGGGGGGGCCCUUUGAUUUUCCCUUUAUAGUGAAAUGUAACACAAGAUGGCUUACCCCCUACUUGUCAGCGAGUGAAAGAGGACCAGGGAGAAAAAGGUUGCAAAGAUCCAUGUAACACCUGCGACGGCACAGAGGUAGCUCAGCAGAGCAUGGAGAGAAAGGAACACAAUGAAGGGAGAUGCAGAGGAGGGGAAUUUGACCGACAGUCGUUUGGCUGGGAGCCAGGGGGAAUGGCGCCAUCCCUGCCAACUGUCAUUAUCCAUGGGGUGAACUCACCACCAGAGUGCUGCCUCGCAGGCCCAAACCACAUACCUAUCCUGGAACAAUCCUCCUUGCCAUAUGCUGGCAACCGGAGCUCUUGGAGGACGAGUGGGAGAAAGCACCAUGCUCCGACAACCUUUGACCUUAAAGAGAGUGAAGGAGUGGUCAAGUUCAAGACCCCCACCCCAGGGUGCCCCUGUCUCUGGACUUCGGUAUCUAGAAGUAUAGUAUGUUUCCACCUAAUCUACAACACAGGAGGUUUGUGGCACCUUAAUUGGGGAGGACAGGCUCGUGCUAAUGGCUGGAGUGGAAUAAGGUGGAAUGGUAUCAAAUACAUGGUUUCCAUGGUUUCCUGGUGUUUGAUGCCAUUCCAUUUGUAGGAGGAGAUGAAUUCCAACAAUUCUAUGAGCUUUUACAAAACUAAAGAACAAAUCCUUUUAAAUAUUAACUUAAUGUACUCAAAUACAUUUUAGAAUAACUGCACAUUUAGACAUGACUUAUAGACAUGGUGUGUGUAUGAAUAUUUUUAAUUUCUCUAUAUUAUUUUAUAUGUCUUUAUUAAGAAUCUGAUAUGCCGGGAAGCCUCACGUCUUUAUGCGCCAGCCACAUACGAUCAGAGUGAUUGCCUACAAGAACGGGACAAGAGAAACCUCUGCUAAAGUCACAGCUUCUAACAUAACCACGGUCAAGUUCCUGUCACGUUCUGACCUUAGUUCAUUUUUUAUGUCUCUAUUUUGGUUUGGUCAGGGCGUGAGUUGGGGUGGGCAUUCUAUGUUUUGUUCUAUGUUUUGUAUUUCUGUGUUUGGCCUGGUAUGGUUCCCAAUCAGAGGCAGCUGUCAAUCGUUGUCUCUGAUUGAGAACCAUACUUAGGUAGCCUGUUCCCAUCUGUGUUUGUGGGUAGUUGUUUUGUGACCUGAUAGGACUGUUUCGUUUUUUUCGUGUUUUCUCCUUUGUUAUUUUUGUCUUCAGUUUAAUAAAUUUAAC